rnacentral:rRNA from 1 species
UACGAAGGUGGCAAGCGUUGUUCGGAUUCACUGGGCGUACAGGGUGUGUAGGCGGUUUGGUAAGCCUUCUGUUAAAGCUUCGGGCCCAACCCGGAAAGCGCAGAGGGUACUGCCAGGCUAGAGGACGGGAGAGGAGCGCGGAAUUCCCGGUGUAGCGGUGAAAUGCGUAGAGAGUCGGGAGGAAGGCCGGUGGCGAAGGCGGCGCUCUGGAACGUUACUGAUGCUGAGACACGAAAGCGUGGGGAGCAACAGG